rnacentral:rRNA from 1 species
AACGAACGCUGGCGGCAUGCCUAACACAUGCAAGUCGAACGAGACCUUCGGGUCUAGUGGCGCACGGGUGCGUAACGCGUGGGAACCUGCCCUUAGGUUAGGAAUAACUCCCCGAAAGGGGUGCUAAUACCGGAUAAUGUCUUCGGACCAAGGAUGUAUCGCCUUUGGAUGGGCCCUCGUUGGAUUCGCUAGUUGGUAGGGUAAAAGCAUACCAAGGCGACGAUCCAUAGCUGGUCUGAGAGGAUGACCAGCCACACUGGGACUGAGACACGGCCCAGACUCGUACGGGAGGCAGCAGUGGGGAAUAUUGGACAAUGGGCGAAAGCCUGAUCCAGCAAUGCCGCGUGAGUGAUGAAGGCCUUAGGGUUGUAAAGCUCUUUUACCCGGGAUGAUAAUGACAGUACCGGGAGAAUAAGCUCCGGCUAACUCCGUG